rnacentral:rRNA from 1 species
AUUGAACGCUGGCGGCAUGCCUUACACAUGCAAGUCGAACGGUAACGCGGGGCAACCUGGCGACGAGUGGCGAACGGGUGAGUAAUGUAUCGGAACGUGCCCAGUUGUGGGGGAUAACUGCUCGAAUGAGCAGCUAAUACCGCAUACGACCUGAGGGUGAAAGCGGGGGAUCGCAAGACCUCGCGCAAUUGGAGCGGCCGAUAUCAGAUUAGGUAGUUGGUGGGGUAAAGGCCUACCAAGCCGACGAUCUGUAGCUGGUCUGAGAGGACGACCAGCCACACUGGGACUGAGACACGGCCCAGACUCCUACGGGAGGCAGCAGUGGGGAAUUUUGGACAAUGGGCGCAAGCCUGAUCCAGCCAUGCCGCGUGCGGGAAGAAGGCCUUCGGGUUGUAAACCGCUUUUGUCAGGGAAGAAAAGACUCCUGUUAAUACCGGGGGUUCAUGACGGUACCUGAAGAAUAAGCACCGGCUAACUACGUGCCAGCCGCCGCCGUAAGAC